rnacentral:tRNA from 1 species
AAAGUAUUAGUUUAAUUAAAACAUAAGCUUGUCAAGCUUAAGCUGUAACCCUACAUACUUUU